rnacentral:rRNA from 1 species
UGGGGAAUAUUGCACAAUGGGGGAAACCCUGAUGCAGCGACGCCGCGUGGAGGAAGAAGGUUUUCGGAUUGUAAACUCCUGUCGUUAGGGACGAUAAUGACGGUACCUAACAAGAAAGCACCGGCUAACUACGUGCC